UACGUAGGGUGCGAGCGUUAAUCGGAAUUACUGGGCGUAAAGCGUGCGCAGGCGGUCCGCCAAGUCUGAUGUGAAAGCCCCGGGCUCAACCUGGGAACUGCAUUGGAAACUAACGGGCUCGAGUGUGGCAGAGGGGGGUGGAAUUCCACGUGUAGCAGUGAAAUGCGUAGAGAUGUGGAGGAAUACCGAUGGCGAAGGCAGCCCCCUGGGAUAACACUGACGCUCAUGCACGAAAGCGUGGGGAGCAAACAGG
rnacentral:rRNA from 1 species